rnacentral:rRNA from 1 species
CGUAGGGGGCAAGCGUUGUCCGGAGUUAUUGGGCGUAAAGGGCGCGUAGGCGGCUUGUCAAGUCGAAUGUGAAACCCCCGGGCUUAACCCGGGGUAUGCAAGCGAAACUGACGAGCUUGAGUGCAGGAGAGGAAAGCGGAAUUCCCAGUGUAGCGGUAAAAUGCGUAGAUAUUGGGAGGAACACCGGUGGCGAAGGCGGCUUUCUGGACUGUAACUGACGCUGAGGCGCGAUAGCGUGGGGAGCAAACAGGAUUAGAUACCCUGGUAGUCCACGCCGUAAACAAUGGAUACUAGGUGUAGGGGGUAUCGACUCCCCCUGUGCCGCAGCGAACGCAAUAAGUAUCCCGCCUGGGGAGUACGGCCGCAAGGUUG